GGUAGAAUUUACAAACAUAUACAUUGUACACAUAUAUACAUAUAGUAGAUACCUAUUAUUUGAAAACACAUAAUAUUAUUAUUCACAAAUCUAUACUUCUUUUAAAUUGGAAUUUAAUAUAAUAAAAAUUGUGCUUUUAGAAUACGACUAAAUCAGUUAUUUAUCAAAUACAAGACAAAUUGUACAAAAAAAAAUUAAGUUUUGGCAUAUAAAUUGAGAACGAAAACCGAACUGAAAUAACAUAAAAAAAAAAACAAAACUAAAUCAGUGUUAACAAAUACCUUAACAGUUCAUAUAUCGAUGAAACAGAAAAUCCUAAACCAAAUUGAAUCUAAACCGAAAACUGAAUGGAUACCUGAAUAUCUUAAAUACAGUUUAUACACCUUAAAAAAUAUUAAUUAGCUUUAGUUCAAAAAUUAUCAAAUAUUCUAACACUAAUACUUAUAAC
rnacentral:lncRNA from 1 species